AUGCGAAGAGAUGUCCCAUCUCUUCAUCCCUUGCCCUCUAGCUGGCAACUCUUGGGUAUUUCACCCAUGUCCGGUGACGUCAAUGAUUUGUGGGAUGCCGCUCUGCCACACCAAAUGCCAAUCAAGAUGUGGCCAAUGGUCCUGCUUACGAAUCCGUGGAAGAUUUGGGCUGCCUGUAGUGACAUGUUAUUCAGGUCCAUCGACCAAUGCUAUGUAAUAACCUUUUGGCUUAUUAUCUCUGCUUUAGACUUGUGGUCGCACCGCUCAAUCAAUCCGGGUGACAAGGACGACUUGUUCUCGUGGCGUUCCUACCUCUCUGAACGGUCCGUCGUGCCAAUGUAA
rnacentral:rRNA from 1 species